rnacentral:lncRNA from 1 species
UCCGCUACCACCCUUCCAUCGUCACCGCCGAUGUCCCUUCCAAUCUCCUCCCCAAGCUCUCCCUCUUCCAUUUUCUCCUCAGGCUACGGCGCUCGCACCCCACAUCCCACAUCUGAAUAGUUUUUUUUUUAAUCUCAUUUCAGUGGAAUGAGAUUUUGACUUUCUUGAAGUGAGGCCAGAUUCAGUUACGGAAAGGAAUGGAUCAUUCUCAUUCCUCCCUAGAAUGAGAAUCGGAAUGGAAUUCCCAAUAUUUGAAAUGAAAGCCAUCUAUUCCAAUUUCCAUUCCAAAUCUUAAUUACUCCAAACAAACUCUCCCUAAGUUUCUCAUCCAUAGGGAUGGGCCCCAUACAUUAUCGUGUCUAGACCUUGCAGGGGCAUGCAAAGAGAUUUAUCAGUCCCAGC